GUACUUCCAAAGUACAUAUACUAAAAUUGAAACGACACAGAGAAGAUUAGCAUGGCGCUGCGCAAGAAUGACACGCAUUU
rnacentral:snRNA from 1 species